rnacentral:rRNA from 1 species
AUUGAACGCUGGCGGCAGGCCUAACACAUGCAAGUCGAACGAGUGGCGGACGGGUGAGUAAUGUCUGGGAAACUGCCUGAUGGAGGGGGAUAACUACUGGAAACGGUAGCUAAUACCGCAUACCAUCGGAUGUGCCCAGAUGGGAUUAGCUAGUAGGUGGGGUAAAGGCUCACCUAGGCGACGAUCCCUAACUGGUCUGAGAGGCUGACCAGCCACACUGGAACUGGGACACGGUCCAGACUCCUACGGGAGGCAGCAGUGGGGAAUAGUGGACAAUGGGGGCAAGCCUGAUGCAGCCAUGCCGCUUGUAUGAAGAAGGCCUUCGGGUUGUAAAGUACGUUCAGCGGGGAGGCGUUACCCGAAGAAGAAGCACCGGCUAACUCCGUGCCAGCAGCCGCGGUAAUAC